rnacentral:rRNA from 1 species
AGUGAACGCUGGCGGCAGGCCUAACACAUGCAAGUCGAACGGACACACAGUAAGCGCUCGCUCCUACGGGUGGCGAGUGGCGGACGGGUGACGAAUACAUCACCAUCUACUUUUUCGUGGGUGAUAACGUAGGGAAACAUACACUAAUACCGAAUACGACCUACGGCAUAAAGCAAGAGAUCAUGACGGCUUUGGCGAUUGAAUUAGCUGAUGCCGCGUCGCAUUAGCUAGUUGGUAAGGUAACGGCAUACCAAGGCGACGAUGCGUAGCCGACCUGAGAGGAUGAUCAGCCACACUGGAACUGAGACACGGUCCAGACUCCUACGGGAGGCAGCAGUGGGGAAUAUUGGACAAUGGGCGAAAGCCUGAUGCAGCAAUGCCGCGUGAGUGAUGAAGGCCUUCGGAUUGUAAAGCCCUGUUGUUAGGAAAGAAAAGCAGCAUAAGUAUCCACGGAUGUUCUGACGGUACCCAAAGAGAAAGCACCGGCUAACUUCGUG